rnacentral:rRNA from 1 species
AGCUCCAAUAGCGUAUAUUAAAGUUGUUGCAGUUAAAAAGCUCGUAGUUGGAUCUCGGGUACUAGCAUGUGGUACGCAUAACUGCUGUUACUACAUGUCUGGUCCUAAUCACUCGGUUGGCCGUUGAUGUCCUUCAUUGGGUGUUUUCGGUAGCCGGUACGUUUACUUUGAGAAAAUUAGAGUGCUUAAAGCAGGCUAUAGGCCUGAAUAAUGUUGAAUGGAAUAAUAGAAGAGGACAUGGGUUCGAUUUGGUUGGUUUUGUAGAGCAUUGAGGUAAUGAUUAAUAGGGACAGACGGGGGCAUUCGUAUGGCGGUGUUAGAGGUGAAAUUCUUGGAUCGCCGCAAGACGAACAACUGCGAAAGCAUUUGCCAAGAAUGUUUUCA